UUCCUAGAUGAAGCAAGCCUGCUUGACUGU
rnacentral:piRNA from 1 species